rnacentral:rRNA from 1 species
UGGGGAAUAUUGGACAAUGGGCGCAAGCCUGAUCCAGCCAUGCCGCGUGUGUGAAGAAGGCCUUUUGGUUGUAAAGCACUUUAAGCGAGGAGGAGGCUACUUGGAUUAAUACUCUAGGAUAGUGGACGUUACUCGCAGAAUAAGCACCGGCUAACUCUGUGCCAGCAGCCGCGGUAAUACAGAGGGUGCGAGCGUUAAUCGGAUUUACUGGGCGUAAAGCGUGCGUAGGCGGCUUUUUAAGUCGGAUGUGAAAUCCCUGGGCUUAACUUAGGAAUUGCAUUCGAUACUGGGAAGCUAGAGUAUGGGAGGGGAUGGUAGAAUUCCAGGUGUAGCGGUGAAAUGCGUAGAGAUCUGGAGGAAUACCGAUGGCGAAGGCAGCCAUCUGGCCUAAUACUGACGCUGAGGUACGAAAGCAUGGGGAGCAAACAGG